UACGUAGGGGGCAAGCGUUGUCCGGAUUUAUUGGGCGUAAAGAGCGUGUAGGCGGCCAUACAGGUCAGCUGUGAAAACUCGAGGCUCAACCUCGAGACGUCGGUUGAAACCGUAUGGCUAGAGUCCGGAAGAGGUGAGUGGAAUUCCCAGUGUAGAGGUGAAAUUCGUAGAUAUUGGGAAGAACACCGGUGGCGAAGGCGGCUCACUGGCUCAUUUCUGACGCUCAGGCGCGACAGCGUGGGGAUCAAACAGG
rnacentral:rRNA from 1 species